rnacentral:rRNA from 1 species
AGUGAACGCUGGCGGUAGGCCUAACACAUGCAAGUCGAACGGCAGCACAGUAAGAGCUUGCCCUUACGGGUGGCGAGUGGCGGACGGGUGAGGAAUACAUCGGAAUCUACUUUUUCGUGGGGGAUAACGUAGGGAAACUUACGCUAAUACCGCAUACGACCUACGGGUGAAAGCAGGGGAUCUUCGGACCUUGCGCGAUUGAAUGAGCCGAUGUCGGAUUAGCUAGUUGGCGGGGUAAAGGCCCACCAAGGCGACGAUCCGUAGCUGGUCUGAGAGGAUGACCAGCCACACUGGAACUGAGACACGGUCCAGACUCCUACGGGAGGCAGCAGUGGGGAAUAUUGGACAAUGGGCGCAAGCCUGAUCCAGCCAUACCGCGUGGGUGAAGAAGGCCUUCGGGUUGUAAAGCCCUUUUGUUGGGAAAGAAAAGCAGCAGGUUAAUACCCCGCUGUUCUGACGGUACCCAAAGAAUAAGCACCGGCUAACUUCGUG